rnacentral:siRNA from 1 species
CCAGGUCGAGCAGAGGACAUCACC